rnacentral:rRNA from 1 species
AUCUACAGCCAUGCCACCCUGAACAAGCCCGAUCCCAUCUGAUCUCAGAAGCUAAGCAGGGUCAGGCCUGGUUAGUACUUGUAUGGGAGACCACUUAAGAAGGACAGGUGCUAUAGGCG